rnacentral:rRNA from 1 species
UACGUAGGUGACCAGCGUUGUCCGGAUUUACUGGGCGUAAAGGGCGCGUAGGCGGCCACGCACGUCCGUUGUGAAAUCGCCCGGCUCAACUGGGCGGGGUCAGCGGAUACGGUGUGGCUCGAGCAAGCUAGGGGGCAAUGGAAUUCCCGGUGUAGUGGUGGAAUGCGUAGAUAUCGGGAGGAACACCAGUGGCGAAGGCGGUUGCCUGGAGCUUUGCUGACGCUGAGGCGCGAAAGCGUGGGGAGCGAUCCGG